GAUGAACGCUGGCGGCGUGCCUAAUACAUGCAAGUCGAGCGAACAGACGAGGAGCUUGCUCCUCUGACGUUAGCGGCGGACGGGUGAGUAACACGUGGAUAACCUACCUAUAAGACUGGGAUAACUUCGGGAAACCGGAGCUAAUACCGGAUAAUAUAUUGAACCGCAUGGUUCAAUAGUUAAAGACGGUUUUGCUGUCACUUAUAGAUGGAUCCGCGCCGCAUUAGCUAGUUGGUAAGGUAACGGCUUACCAAGGCAACGAUGCGUAGCCGACCUGAGAGGGGGAUCGGCCACACUGGAACUGAGACACGGUCCAGACUCCUACGGGAGGCAGCAGUAGGGAAGCUUCCGCAAUGGGCGAAAGCCUGCCGGAGCAACGCCGCGUGAGUGAUGAAGGUCUUCGGAGCGUAAAACUCUGUUCUUAGGGAAGAACAAAUGUGUAAGUAACUAUGCACGUCUUGACGGUACCUAAUCAGAAAGCCACGGCUAACUACGUG
rnacentral:rRNA from 1 species